rnacentral:rRNA from 1 species
UACGUAGGGGGCUAGCGUUGUCCGGAAUCAUUGGGCGUAAAGAGCGUGUAGGCGGCCAUGCAGGUCCGUUGUGAAAACUCGAGGCUCAACCUCGAGACGUCGAUGGAAACCGCGAUGGCUAGAGUCCGGAAGAGGAGGAGUGGAAGUUCCUGGGUGUAGCGGUGAAAUGCGCAGAUAUCAGGAGGAACACCGAUGGCGAAGGCAGGUCUCUGGGCCACUACUGACGCUGAGAAGCGAAAGCAUGGGGAGCGAACAGG